rnacentral:lncRNA from 1 species
UGUACUAGUAUAUACAUCGUCCCUCUUUAUAAGUAUAUGGAGAUGCCCGGUGUUAUGAUUGACAAUGUGACAAAUUUCCGAGAGAGAAAAAAAAAAAAAAAAAAAAAACAAAACAAAGAACAAAGAUGUCAAUGAUAACCAGUCAUCAUCCGGUCUUUAACAAUGGAGAGAACCCACUCCGUACAGCAAGUUUAAACAGGAAUUAGUGAAACACUAUAUGAUGAAACAACCCAAAAUAGGGAACAACAACAGAAACGCCAUUCCUAACAAACAAAGGAUGCACCAUCCAAAAAGGAUCCAUAUACCACAGGAAGUUAAUAAAAUCAUCACAAACCAACAAGAAAUAUUUAAAAAAAAAAAUUAAUUGUUUUGUAUAUGUUGUGUUAUAUACAAGUGAAUGAAAAACAACCAAGUAUAGAAACAGUAUAAUCACAAAAAUACUGAACCCC